CCUGAAGUCGGAUCGAUGCCGGAAAGUUACCCUGCCUGGCCCGUCCCCCGCGCCGCUGCAGAACUCGUCUGCCCCGGAGCCGAUCGCCUCGGCAAAUGGCCUUGGUUGGGCUGGGCUUCACCAUGGGCUUCUCCAUGGGACAUGGGAGCAUGAUACCACUUGGAGGCCUGAGAGGGAACAGACCACAGGUCAGGGAGAGUGAGCGUAUGAUUUUCUGGUGCUGAGCUGCCUGCUGGGAUUAAACCACAACACCAAGUAGUGCAAUAAAUGACCAGCCACAGCAGUCUGUCACGGCAGUCUCCCGUUCUUACCUGCAACAGCAAAGGAACAUGCUGAGAGAGGUGGCGUGUGAGGCUACUACUGGAAGGUUUCCAGACCUAUUCAUGCUGGCAGCUCUAUUCUUAACAGCCAAGAGAGAGCUCUUACCCAGCAUCUGAUCUUUACAGCAAGAAAAGAUACUGAACUGUUUACAAGGUCAUACUGAUCUAAGAAGAUAUGACAGUGAAACCUUACUACUCCAUGCAAGUGAAACAAGGGUAGCUGUACUUAUUCUGGAAGAAACAGAUGAGUCGAAGGCUCUGCCAUUUUGUCUGAACAAGCCAGGGUAUCUUCAUGGAGAAUUUGGAAAUACCUUAAUCAACUCAAUUAUCUGUUAUUUUAAAUUAAUUCAAUAUGGCUAUAAUCAAAUACUAUAUGGUAGCUGAAUUUUAUAUAGACUAGUUGGAUAACUAUUUUAAGUGUGAUUCGAGAUGACAUUUACUAGAUCGCAGCAUAAAUUGGAGUUGUCCUGGAAUUUAAUAUAUCACAAUAAAAUAAAUUUUCUCAA